rnacentral:rRNA from 1 species
AAAAUGCACAUACUGUGAGCUCGAUGAGUAGGGCGGGACACGUGGUAUCCUGUCUGAAUAUGGGGGGACCAUCCUCCAAGGCUAAAUACUCCUGACUGACCGAUAGUGAACCAGUACCGUGAGGGAAAGGCGAAAAGAACCCCGGCGAGGGGAGUGAAAAAGAACCUGAAACCGUGUACGUACAAGCAGUGGGAGCACAGAGCAAUCUGUGUGACUGCGUACCUUUUGUAUAAUGGGUCAGCGACUUAUAUUCUGUAGCAAGGUUAACCGAAUAGGGGAGCCGAAGGGAAACCGAGUCUUAACUGGGCGUUAAGUUGCAGGGUAUAGACCCGAAACCCGGUGAUCUAGCCAUGGGCAGGUUGAAGGUUGGGUAACACUAACUGGAGGACCGAACCGACUAAUGUUGAAAAAUUAGCGGAUGACUUGUGGCUGGGGGUGAAAGGCCAAUCAAACCGGGAGAUAGCUGGUUCUCCCCGAAAGCUAUUUAGGUAGCGCCUCGUGAAUUCAUCUCCGGGGGUAGAGCACUGUUUCGGCAAGGGGGUCAUCCCGACUUACCAACCCGAUGCAAACUGCGAAUACCGGAGAAUGUUAUCACGGGAGACACACGGCGGGUGCUAACGUCCGUCGUGAAGAGGGAAACAACCCAGACCGCCAGCUAAGGUCCCAAAGUCAUGGUUAAGUGGGAAACGAUGUGGGAAGGCCCAGACAGCCAGGAUGUUGGCUUAGAAGCAGCCAUCAUUUAAAGAAAGCGUAAUAGCUCACUGGUCGAGUCGGCCUGCGCGGAAGAUGUAACGGGGCUAAACCAUGCACCGAAGCUGCGGCAGCGACGCUGAUGCGUUGUUGGGUAGGGGAGCGUUCUGUAAGCCUGUGAAGGUGUGCUGUGAGGCAUGCUGGAGGUAUCAGAAGUGCGAAUGCUGACAUAAGUAACGAUAAAGCGGGUGAAAAGCCCGCUCGCCGGAAGACCAAGGGUUCCUGUCCAACGUUAAUCGGGGCAGGGUGAGUCGACCCCUAAGGCGAGGCCGAAAGGCGUAGUCGAUGGGAAACAGGUUAAUAUUCCUGUACUUGGUGUUACUGCGAAGGGGGGACGGAGAAGGCUAUGUUGGCCGGGCGACGGUUGUCCCGGUUUAAGCGUGUAGGCUGGUUUUCCAGGCAAAUCCGGAAAAUCAAGGCUGAGGCGUGAUGACGAGGCACUACGGUGCUGAAGCAACAAAUGCCCUGCUUCCAGGAAAAGCCUCUAAGCAUCAGGUAACAUCAAAUCGUACCCCAAACCGACACAGGUGGUCAGGUAGAGAAUACCAAGGCGCUUGAGAGAACUCGGGUGAAGGAACUAGGCAAAAUGGUGCCGUAACUUCGGGAGAAGGCACGCUGAUAUGUAGGUGAAGUCCCUCGCGGAUGGAGCUGAAAUCAGUCGAAGAUACCAGCUGGCUGCAACUGUUUAUUAAAAACACAGCACUGUGCAAACACGAAAGUGGACGUAUACGGUGUGACGCCUGCCCGGUGCCGGAAGGUUAAUUGAUGGGGUUAGCGCAAGCGAAGCUCUUGAUCGAAGCCCCGGUAAACGGCGGCCGUAACUAUAACGGUCCUAAGGUAGCGAAAUUCCUUGUCGGGUAAGUUCCGACCUGCACGAAUGGCGUAAUGAUGGCCAGGCUGUCUCCACCCGAGACUCAGUGAAAUUGAACUCGCUGUGAAGAUGCAGUGUACCCGCGGCAAGACGGAAAGACCCCGUGAACCUUUACUAUAGCUUGACACUGAACAUUGAGCCUUGAUGUGUAGGAUAGGUGGGAGGCUUUGAAGUGUGGACGCCAGUCUGCAUGGAGCCGACCUUGAAAUACCACCCUUUAAUGUUUGAUGUUCUAACGUUGACCCGUGAUCCGGGUUGCGGACAGUGUCUGGUGGGUAGUUUGACUGGGGCGGUCUCCUCCUAAAGAGUAACGGAGGAGCACGAAGGUUGGCUAAUCCUGGUCGGACAUCAGGAGGUUAGUGCAAUGGCAUAAGCCAGCUUGACUGCGAGCGUGACGGCGCGAGCAGGUGCGAAAGCAGGUCAUAGUGAUCCGGUGGUUCUGAAUGGAAGGGCCAUCGCUCAACGGAUAAAAGGUACUCCGGGGAUAACAGGCUGAUACCGCCCAAGAGUUCAUAUCGACGGCGGUGUUUGGCACCUCGAUGUCGGCUCAUCACAUCCUGGGGCUGAAGUAGGUCCCAAGGGUAUGGCUGUUCGCCAUUUAAAGUGGUACGCGAGCUGGGUUUAGAACGUCGUGAGACAGUUCGGUCCCUA